ACAGUAUUUAUAUUGGUUCAAGAGCGCAGUUUGAUAACUCAUUCAAGCCUUUAAACAUCUAAACAUGUCCUCCAAAAAGGUAAGUUCAGCAGAUCAGCUUAUCUUAUUCUGUAAUAUUGAUACUGGUUUGAGAAAAACUAAGAUUAAACAACGUACAUGUUUCCAGGAAAAAGGGAAAAACACUGGAAAACAAUUUCAGCCUAAGGUUUGAGAUGGCUAACUGUGUACAUUGCCUUUGUGUACUGCAAGCUGAACUUACAGAUUUAUAUGGACUUUACUUACAGGUUUCCUGUGCUGUUUUGCUCCAUUUUACAGAACAAAAUAAGGCUGAGGUAGCACCAUCCUUGUGGUUAGAGUGAAAGAAUGUGGGUAUUGAGACCAAAAUAAAUAAUGUGCCAUUCUGGACAAACAGCUGUGGACAAUAUAAGCAGUCAGAGUAGCCCAUUUUCUCACACAGAUGAGGAGCAACCAGUAAGAAAAAGCAAAAAGAUGUUUUGAUGUUGCCUGAGGCACCUUAUUCACAUCAGUCAAUUUCUUCCAAUAAUGAAUCAAGAAAUCCUGGAGUGGAGAAUCAUUCUGAAAGUAGACCAAACACAGGACAACACCACAGCAGUGGUUGGAAAAAUGCAGCAGACAAUGAGCAAACCAAGCUGACUUUCAAAAGAUGAUUCGUUAUCUGUUUCUUCAAAGGGGAGGCAGUUUGGGAGAUGGGAAAUAGGAGGAUGCUACAGCUACACAGGGCGAAUUUCAGCAGCUCAGUUUCACACUUGCAACUAACAAUGAAUUAUAGUUAGAAGACAACGGAAAUAUUUGACAUGGGAGUCCAGCAGACAGCCAGAGACACGCACACACACGGAGCUGAAGCGCGUUUGACUGACGCGUACGGGAGAUCAGGCACGCGCACGGGAGCUCGCUCGCGCACGCACACACAAACACGGAGCACAGGAAAAUUA